AUGACUUUAUUUUUUCAAUUAAUUUAAACUAAAUUAAAGCCGCAAGCGGCGUUGGAGGCCCUCGCAGCGAAGCGCGCCUCUGGCCUCAUGGCAACCGCGGGGGUUCCAGCAACGCCAUGCUCUCGCCACCGCCAACGAUCUCACGCAGUCCCCACAGCCGUCCACCAGGCAACACACACUGACGUCUUCCGCAGCGCUCCCUGACGACGCACAAGCGCAGUCAAACUGAAUUGCAAUUUAUAGCUAUUGGGCUCUUUAGAGGCUAACAAAGGUCAAGCCUAACAAGUUUACUGCAAAUAGGAUAAUGCAUGUAUGACUUAGAACAGUCUUUCUUCCAACA